UCUCCGUAGGUGAACCAGCGGAGGGAUCAUUACCGAGUUAUCAACUCUCAAACCCCUGUGAACAGACCCGAACGUUGCCUCGGCGGGACGGCCCCGGCGCCCAUCUCGAGGCCCGGAACCAGGCGUCCGCCGCAGGACCCAAUCUCUAGCUUUGAACAGUGGCAUAGUCUCUGAGUCUCAUAAACAAAAAAUGAAUCAAAACUUUCAACAACGGAUCUCUUGGCUCUG
rnacentral:misc_RNA from 1 species